rnacentral:rRNA from 1 species
ACUGAGACCGGCGUACGGGUGCGUAACGCGUAUACAAUCUGCCUUUCACUGGGGGAUAGCCCGAAGAAAUUUGGAUUAAUACCCCAUAGUAUAUAGGGACGGCAUCGUUUUUAUAUUAAAGCUUAGGUGGUGAAAGAUGAGUAUGCGUUCUAUUAGCUAGUUGGAGAGGUAACGGCUCCCCAAGGCGAUGAUAGAUAGGGGUUCUGAGAGGGAUGUCCCCCACACUGGUACUGAGAUACGGACCAGACUCC